rnacentral:rRNA from 1 species
CCUACGGGAGGCAGCAGUGGGGAAUAUUGGGCAAUGGACGCAAGUCUGACCCAGCAACGCCGCGUGAAGGAAGAAGGCUUUCGGGUUGUAAACUUCUUUUAAGGGGGAAGAGCAGAAGACGGUACCCCUUGAAUAAGCCACGGCUAACUACGUGCCAGCAGCCGCGGUAAUACGUAGGUGGCAAGCGGUGUCCGGAUUUACUGGGUGUAAAGGGCGUGCAGCCGGAGAGACAAGUCAGAUGUGAAAUCCACGGGCUCAACCCGUGAACUGCAUUUGAAACUGUUUCCCUUGAGUGUCGGAGAGGUAAUCGGAAUUCCGUGUGUAGCGGUGAAAUGCGUAGAUAUAAGGAAGAACACCAGUGGUGAAGGCAGAUUACUGGACGAUAACUGACGGUGAGGCGCGAAAGCGUGGGGAGCAAACAGGAUUAGAUACCCUAGUAGUC